UACGGAGGGAGCUAGCGUUGUUCGGAAUUACUGGGCGUAAAGCGCACGUAGGCGGCUUUGUAAGUUAGAUGUGAAAGCCCGGAGCUCAACUCCGGAAUUGCCUUUAAGACUGCAUCGCUUGAAUCCGGGAGAGGUGAGUGGAAUUCCGAGUGUAGAGGUGAAAUUCGUAGAUAUUCGGAAGAACACCAGUGGCGAAGGCGGCUCACUGGACCGGUAUUGACGCUGAGGUGCGAAAGCGUGGGGAGCAAACAGG
rnacentral:rRNA from 1 species